CGCAGCCUGUGAGGUUGGGCUGAGCUGAAGAAACCUGCCUGGAGCAAGGUCUCCCCUCCCUCCGGGGCGUCCCACAGUGGGAGGGGCUCCUAACAGCUCUCGCCUGUACGCGCCGAGGCCGCUCUUCAUCUGCAGUCCAUUCCCCAGAGAGGCCGCCCUGCAGCAGCCCCGGAGGGCUCUGCCCCGAGCCGUCUUCGGCAGCAGCGUCUGCUUCAUCCUCACCACGCCUGCUUCGUCCUCACCACGCGUAUCGCUCGCUCACUGUGUGCAGAGCCGGCGGCGGAGGACGCUAAGUGCAUUUCUCCGUUCAGUUCUCAGGCCCACCCUGGGUCCCCGUCUCACAGAUGGAAAAUUGAGGCCCAGAGGGAUGAAUUAACAUACUCAGGGUCACAGAGAAACAGAGCUGGGAUGAGAACCCAGCCCUCCACCGUUUCCAGGAGCCCGGAAAAUGCUACGAGAACUGAGACAUUCUGAGGUUCAGAAUCUGUGUCACACCGCCAGCAAGAGGCAGAGCCGGUCUGAGUCUCCCAAGUCCAAGCCUCACGUUCUUCCCACCACCCUCAGGAUGACAUCAUCAUCUCCAUCAAUCACAUCUGUACAGACUUCGUGAGCACCAGGCGCUGCAUCCUAUGAGACGGGUGUUCUCAGAGGCGAUACGUCACCUCACGCCUGAGGAAACUGCACAGAGAGGUUCAGAGACUUCCCCAAAGUCACACAAUCAGCAAAGAGCACAAGCAGGGACUUAACCCAGGCAUCCGGCUCCAGCGUCCGUUUCUGAGGACCAGGCCGGGAGGACCCGGACAGUGACAGCUGUGAGACGCUGGCCGGUGUGGCCCAUUUAAUGCCGACUUCUUUGCAGACGACGUAGAGCAAACCUGCCUUUCCCCUGCUCCUUCCGGACCACAGUCACCCUCGCCUCGUCCAGGGCUGGUGAGCGUCCCCUGCUUCCCUGCCACAUGGGGCCGAUUUCCUAGGGAGAUGUUCUCCCCUCCAAUCUGGAAGCGUGCCGCUUAGCUGCCUCCUUGGA